rnacentral:lncRNA from 1 species
CUUUUAGGGGUUCCCUGGGUGUUGGCUAGUAGAUGAUCUUAAAGGUUAUCUUCUCCAAGUGUGCGGUGUCCUAUCUUCGGCGGCCGCAGCAAGAUCUACCUGAGAAGGGAAAGAGAAAGGGGAGGAGAGAGGUAAGGGAUAAAAGCUAAGCAAGCCUGAUAAUACAUUGUAGAGGUAGCAGCAUAUCUACCUACAUAGACCCUCCACCUUACAUCCCCUUCGAUCCUUUUCCGCAUCCUUCGCGGGGCACAGCCGGUUCCGUAAGUCAAUACUAGUUUGCACCUUAAGCCUACUUCUAUAGCCGCCCUAAAGACUCUAUCCUCGAUACCCAUCUUCAGAAUCCUAUUCUCUCAGUAGACCGACACGCGCGUCCGUCCUCUCGAGCCAUAUAGAAAGUGUCGUAACUGCAGUCCGCCCACCCAGUCUUCCGUCGCUUCCAUUAUAUGCUGCGCCCCACGGAUUGUCAAAUCUGUUUCGCGCUACCUUGUAAGAUCUCUCUAACAAGGCCGACCGUGUCUCGCAGGAGUUCGCCCACUUGUAUCCUCUCUGUACCCAGAACAGCUAAGCAACACAGUGUUGUCCGUCCUACUAACCAAAGUACCUCGUCGUUCUCUGUGUGGGAUCAAGCAUGCUGGGUCGUAUCGUAUCGUUCAUGUUUUUAUUUUGGCUGUGUCGUUUCUGUGUCCUCAAACCCAGCGAUAUCCCCCUUUCAACAGAGCAGCCCGAGAGCACUCCAAGGGUGUCCUGUCCCACGACCCUAGUGUUCACUGAUUGUAGGAUCCGUUUCGCGGUCGUGUGUUGGGUGGUUUUCAAAGUGUUCCCUUGUCGCUUGUGGGUGGGGUGGGGGCUCCUAAGCCCUCGCUCCAACCGUAGCCCUAGCUAGUGGACAGUGCUGGCCGGUGGUGACUCUUCUUAGCUCUGUAAAUACCAUCCAGGCCAGGUAUUUACAGGUUCCCAGCCGGCACUAUGGGGAGGUGAGAGUCGUCGCCGGCCUCCUUAGCAUGUAUAUUUACUAAAUCGG